rnacentral:lncRNA from 1 species
AAACGCAUCUAGGCAAAGUGUGGAGCCGACCAGGCGGGUUUUCCUCCUCCUCCCAACUCCUCCUCCUACCCCUCUCCCCCGCAAAUCUCAUCUGAGUGAGUCAGCUGAGGGUGGCAGCUCAGAGGCGAGGCAGCCGUGAGGCGGAGGACAGGCUGGGGGAUCCCAAAGGGUCCGCUCCGGCCCCCACCCCAGGCACUGGGACUCUGGUGGCACCCUGGGUGGCAGGCAAGCCUUGAAGUCAAGUGCACGAGCCUUGGAAAGGAGGACCGGGAGAGUUAUGGCAUUUAUGAAUGAAGAAGAGAAAGAAUCACUCGGAGGGGAAAAGUUAACUGGAUUGUUCCCAACUGCAUGGAUCACCGGGAUGAAGCUGUGCCACCCUGUAGGAAUUAGAAGACCAUGUCCAGGAAUUGAGCACUGGGUGCAGGAUCCAGUCUUCUCAGGCCCUGAAUCCACAUGGGUCACCAUAGUGCUCUUCAUGGGGUGGGAAGUGGUGGCCUUUAAGUGUCUAUCAAAUGUGAAGACUGCAAAGAGGGAUCCAUGGCUGUCGGAGCAAUGAGAUACGCGAUGACAUAGAUCUGGAAAGCACAUCUGAGCAAAAGAGCACACUCGUAAGCAACUUAGCCAUCUUGCCUUGUGGCCUGGAACCCCUGGCAAUUUCCGGAGCACCAGCAAGAGACUUUUGCACAGUUUCUGCUUGGAGUCUACCGACUCUCUGUCUCAGAGGUCUGGACAGCUACUUGUUAUAUUUGGCUCACGCUAGCUUAAAAAAGGAAUUUAUGGACCUUACUGCAGAACUUCCCAAUUCUUCAGGCCAGGUGCCUGUGUUCCUGCUCGGUUUCUAGAUUGCUUGGUACUUAAAUGAAACAUCUUAUUAAUCAUUUCCUGGGAAUGCUGUGCAGCCAAAAGGAAAACAAAGGCAUUCAGGACCCACAAUGUCUUGAACAAGUCAGCAAAGAAAAACAGUUCCGCCCUUUGGAAUGUAUGAAAAUGAAGACCGUUGCAGGAGGUCUUCAGCCACAGAGCUGGCUCCAGAGGCAUUGGGAGGACAAACGCGGCAGGCCUGGCUCACUCAUUAUAUUUCAAGAUCUAUCCCAGCUUGUCACAACGUGGACUGCGUAACUGAGACGAUUCGCGGUUGGUAUUCCUAUGCUGAGGCAUGUGCUGCCCCGGCCCUUGGUUGCUGGGCAAUUUGCUCUCUAUGGACUGUACCUGGGGUGCCUACCCUGGACUUCAGACAAGCUUUUUCAAGAGUAGCCCCUGCCAGGGCUGGAACCAACAGCAAGAGCAGCCCAGGGCCACUCUGCCCAGGCUCAGAGGCAUCACUGGGAAAGACUCAGGGGCAGAAGGAACUGGGGCGGGAAGCCCUGAAGGGUGUCGAGUCCCAGGACAAGGGACUGGGGUGUGUCCCAGCAGACCCCCAGGGAAGAAGCAGCUUUGGAUUCGCCUGACCCAAACCCUUGCUGCCAGACAGGCUUAAAUUGCCCCGACUUUCCCCAUGAAGCUCGGACAGGAGGACGGAGGAGCAACUGCCUUCUGGGGUCAGAGUCUGUCCCCGCUCCUGCAGGCCGGAAGCAUGUGUGGUCAGCGGUGGGCCAGAGCCUCUCAGCCUCUCAGCAAGGGCCUUCCUGUAGCUCUCGGCUCCUCCGACAGCCCCAUCCCUUAGCACAGGCGGGGCUGGCGGAGCACUGCAGGGGCCAGGCGCAGCCACUGUGCAGCAAGGCACAGCUGCCUGAUCAAACCAGAUCAAAAGCCAUUCGAUCAUCUAAGGACUAUUUUCAUUCGAUAUUUAUUGAUUUCUACUGCUCGCUAGGGCUGUACAGGGCCCUGAGCUUGCCAUGAGGAGCACAUUUCAGCCUCCACCCCUCGGGGCUCACAGUCUGGUGGAGGAAGCACAUGAAAUAAAAGAAUUGCACAUGUAAAUAUCUCAUUACAAAUGUGCAAGAACCAUGAAAGAAAAAAAAAGAACACGAUGGGAGAUAAUCACAAAGCCCACUUAUUUUAGACAAACUGGUUGGAGACAGCCACAUUUUUGCCAAGACCUAAAGGAUGGGCAACAGUAAAAAUCAUCAUCAUCAUCAUC